UCCGUAGGGGGCAAGCGUUAUCCGGAAUCACUGGGCGUAAAGCGUCUGUAGGUGGUGAUGCAAGUCACUGGUGCAAAACUCUGGCUCAACCGGAGGAAAGCCAGUGAAACUGCAUGACUAGAGUGUGGGAGAGGUAGAAGGAAUUCCCUGAGUAGCGGUGAAAUGCGUAGAUACAGGGAAGAACACCGGAGGCGAAAGCGUUCUACUGGAACACAACUGACACUGAGAGACGAAAGCUAGGGGAGCGAAUGGG
rnacentral:rRNA from 1 species